GACGGAGGGUCUCUUUGGUUAAAUUCUCUCCAUGAAGCUUAGGAGGGGUCAAACUAAUAACACAGUAAAGAACAAAACAUAUUCGCAUACAGAACUGAACUCUGUGAUUUCCAAAGGGGAAUGAAAGAGUAUGAGAGGGUUCUCCUCUCUAGCUUCAAGGGCUUCUUCACCUGCUUUCACAAAUCUCUCUAAACAAAACCACAAUUCCCUCAGACCCAUUACUCCCAAACCCUCAAAUCUUGACUCUGUUGCGACCACUAGCUGCACCACCACUGAACAAACUUCACCCGGUAAGUCUUCAUUGAACUGGAGUUCCAACACUUCAAUUGCAGCUAAAAAUCGAAACCUUCAAGGAAGUAGUAUUGAUUACGAAUAUUUUACUCAGAUUCUUGCAAGAAAUGACUGGUAUUUAUUGCUAAACCAUGAGUAUAAAGCCAAGAGGGUUACUUUGAAUCAGCAAGCAGUUGUUAGUAUUCUACAUAAUCAAGAAAAUCCAUUACACCCUUUUAGAUUUUACAUCUGGAUUUCGAAUAUUUGCCCUUCUUUUGCCAAGAAUCAAUCAGUUAAGGGGGUCUUAGGUAAUGUACUGUAUAGAAAAGGUCCCCUUUUGUUGUCAGCUGAGCUAGUUCAGGAUAUCAGACACUCUGGAAAUGUAAUUACUGUGGAUUUGCUUUGUGUUCUGAUUGGUAGUUGGGGGAGAUUAGGCUUGGGGAAGUACUGUGCUGACAUUUUGGAGCAGGUUUCUUAUUUGGGACUCGCUUCUAGUACUAGGUUGUAUAAUGCAGUGAUCGAUGCGUUGGUCAAGUCCAAUUCACUUGACUUAGCUUAUCUAAAGUUUCAGCAAAUGCAGGUGGAUAAUUGUAAUCCGGAUAGGUUUACGUAUAAUAUUCUCAUUCAUGGAGUUUGUAAGGUUGGGGUUGUGGAGGAAGCGAUUCGUCUGGUUAAACAGAUGGAAGGAGCGGGAUACUCUCCUAAUGUGUUUACUUACACCAUUUUGGUUGAUGGGUUUUGCAAUGCUAGAAGGGUGGAUGAGGCUUUUGAGCUCUUCCGGAGAAUGAAGGAUAGGAAUAUUGUUCCAACUGAAGCUACUGUAAGAUCAUUGGUUAAUGGGGUAUUUCGUUGUAUGCCACCAGAUGAGGGUUUUGAAUUAUUAUCUAGAUGGUUAGAGAAAGAACCUGCCUUGCCUAAUAUAGCUUUUGCUUCCGUGCUACAUUGCCUUAGUACUAAUUCUUUGCCAACAGAAGCAGCCCAACUUUUAAGAAUAUCAGUUGAUAGAGGUUACGUCCUGGAUAACUCUACUAUUAACAUUGUACUGACUUGUUUAAUCAAAGGAUUAGAGCUUGAUGAUACUUGUCAGAUGUUAGACUUUAUCACUGUUCGAGGUAUGAAGGUUAGUAUUGAUAUAUAUCUUGCACUUGUUGAUGUUCUUUACAAAGCAGGGAAAGUAGAAAAGGGGAAUGAAUAUUUGUUCCAGAUGUUUAAGGAUGGUCUUGUAUCUAACACAUUCUUCUAUAACCGGGUCAUUGAUUGCUGCUGCAAAAUCAAAAUGAUGGACAAAGCAUCAGAGGCUUUUAAAGACAUGCUUCAGAGAGGUCUCACUCCCAAUCUUGUAACUUUCAACACUCUUAUUAGUGGACAUUCUAAGGUAGGGGAGGUUGACAAGGUUCGUGAGCUACUGGUCAUGCUACUGGAACAUGGUUUUCGACCAGACAUUUUCACAUUUAGUUCACUGAUUGAUAGCCUUUGUAGAGUAAAUCGGAUUGACGAUGCUUUAGACUGUUUCACAGAGAUGGUAGAAUGGGGAGUUGCUCCAAACGCUGUUACUUACAAUAUCUUAAUUCGUUCACUCUGUGUCCUCGGAGAUGUUGGUGGAUCAAUGAAAUUAUUAAGAAAAAUGCAAGAUGAUGGAAUAAAAGCAGAUGUUUUCUCCUUCAAUGCCUUAAUUCAAAGUUUUUGUAGGAUGAAUAAGAUUGAUGAGGCACAAAGGCUUCUUGUAAGCAUGUCGACACUGGAUUUGAGCCCUAAUAAUUAUACUUAUGGUGCAUUUAUAAGGGCCUUAUUUAACUCGGGGAGAUUUGAUGAAGCUAAGAACUUGUUUUUGUCAAUGGAAGCAAUUGGAUGCAUCCCCGACGCUUCCACAUGUAAAUUAUAUUUCGAUUCAAUUGUCCAAUCAAGAUGUAGUGAAGAAGCUCGGGAUGUUUUAAGGGAGUGCAGGAAAAGGGGGAUGCUAUUGGAACCCGUUACUUCUUCAUAGUAUCUUUUCUUUAGGAGUGAUUAUCACUUAAAGCCGACAACCUACGCUGCUCGUUAGCCCACCAUGAACAUAACAUUGCUAUUGUCUCAACAGGCUGGAGCCGAAUGUAAUAUAGGAAGUGAAUGAGCUGUUAAAAGCAAAGUAACAUGCACUCGUUUUUCUGUGAGAUUUGGAAUAAUAAUGAGGUGCUUAAUUGAUCUUAAGAAAUCUGAUUUUCAGAUCAAGGACCUGACUAAAGGAAGAAGGAGUUACUGGCUCAUUCUUAUCAAUACCAAACCAAUACAUACUAUGGAUGCUUCACUGUGAACGCGAAGAGGGAGCCUUUGUUUAGAUCUUUUACAUGAAACCUGGGUGUUAAUUUGUAAAAGGUUUUUCGUCUGCCUCCAUACAUGAUGAUGAAUCUUUUCUUCCUUUUCAUCUCUGUUCUAGUCUAGAUGGAGUGAACUGUACUCAUGACCGGUUUAAGUCUUUGUGCUCAUGCACUUCUAUGAAAGAAGUUUUUCUUAACUACUUCAACCAUGUAAACAGGGCCAAACAUAAGCUGGAUAGCAAUAUAGGUUCCUGACAUGUGGUUUAAGCCCCUUCUCGUAAAGGAAAUGGAGAUAUUUGAUCAUUGAAAGCUGUGUUAGCUGAAAAUGUUUUACUUUCAGGGCUUGGUCUUUCACCUUAUUUCAAUAUUUCUCCUAUCUUUCCCAGAAGUACUACUGGCUAAGGAAUCAUCAAAAGUUCAAGAUACAUCCCCCCCUGUAUCAAUGUAUUUCUAUUACUUGGUGCUUGAAUGAGGAACCAUGACAAGGACUAACGAUUUAUAAGUUUGUUCCCAGUCACAUGUAACAUUUUGCUAAUUUGAACACUUAAAAGUGAAUUCUUGAUAUUCUGA